rnacentral:rRNA from 1 species
AGGGAAUCUUCCGCAAUGGGCGAAAGCCUGACGGAGCAACGCCGCGUGAGUGAUGAAGGUCUUCGGAUCGUAAAACUCUGUUAUUAGGGAAGAACAAAUGUGUAAGUAACUAUGCACGUCUUGACGGUACCUAAUCAGAAAGCCACGGCUAACUACGUGCCAGCAGCCGCGGUAAUACGUAGGUGGCAAGCGUUAUCCGGAAUUAUUGGGCGUAAAGCGCGCGUAGGCGGUUUUUUAAGUCUGAUGUGAAAGCCCACGGCUCAACCGUGGAGGGUCAUUGGAAACUGGAAAACUUGAGUGCAGAAGAGGAAAGUGGAAUUCCAUGUGUAGCGGUGAAAUGCGCAGAGAUAUGGAGGAACACCAGUGGCGAAGGCGACUUUCUGGUCUGUAACUGACGCUGAUGUGCGAAAGCGUGGGGAUCAAAC